rnacentral:ncRNA from 1 species
CACCGCCCGUCGCUCCUACCAGAUGAAUGGUCCGUGAAGUGUUAGGAUCGUGGCGACGUGGGCGGUUCGCUGCCGCGACGUCGCGAAGAAUUCCACUGAACCUUAUCAUUUAGAGGAAGGAGAAGUCUAACAAGGUUCCGUAGGUGAACCUGCGAAGG